CCUGAUGCAGCCAUUCCGCGUGAGUGAAGAAGGCCUUCGGGUUGUAAAGCUCUUUCAGCUGGAACGAAACGGUACGCGCUAAAACGGGUGCUAAUGACGGUACCGGCAGAAGAAGCACCGGCUAACUACGUGCCAGCAGCCGCGGUAAUACGUAGGGUGCGAGCGUUAAUCGGAAUUACUGGGCGUAAAGCGUGCGCAGGCGGAUUGUUAAGCCAGAUGUGAAAUCCCCGGGCUUAACCUGGGAAUGGCAUUUUGAACUGGGAGUCUAGAGUGCGUCAGAGGGGGGUGGAAUUCCACGUGUAGCAGUGAAAUGCGUAAAGAUGUGGAGGAACACCGAUGGCGAAGGCAGCCCCCUGGGAUGACACUGACGCUCAUGUACGAAAGCGUGGGUAGCAAACAGGAUUAGAUACCCUGGUAGUCCACGCCCUAAACGAUGUCAACUGGUUGUUGGGGGAGUGAAAUCCCUUAGUAACGAAGCUAACGCGUGAAGUUGACCGCCUGGGGAUACGGUCGCAAGAUUAAAACUCA
rnacentral:rRNA from 1 species